rnacentral:rRNA from 1 species
GAGCGGAUGACGGGAGCUUGCUCCUUGAUUCAGCGGCGGACGGGUGAGUAAUGCCUAGGAAUCUGCCUGGUAGUGGGGGACAACGUUCCGAAAGGAGCGCUAAUACCGCAUACGUCCUACGGGAGAAAGUGGGGGAUCUUCGGACCUCACGCUAUCAGAUGAGCCUAGGUCGGAUUAGCUAGUUGGUGAGGUAAAGGCUCACCAAGGCGACGAUCCGUAACUGGUCUGAGAGGAUGAUCAGUCACACUGGAACUGAGACACGGUCCAGACUCCUACGGGAGGCAGCAGUGGGGAAUAUUGGACAAUGGGCGAAAGCCUGAUCCAGCCAUGCCGCGUGUGUGAAGAAGGUCUUCGGAUUGUAAAGCACUUUAAGUUGGGAGGAAGGGCAGUAAGUUAAUACCUUGCUGUUUUGACGUUACCGACAGAAUAAGCACCGGCUAACUCUGUGCCAGCAGCCGCGGUAAUACAGAGGGUGCAAGCGUUAAUCGGAAUUACUGGGCGUAAAGCGCGCGUAGGUGGUUCGUUAAGUUGGAUGUGAAAGCCCCGGGCUCAACCUGGGAACUGCAUCCAAAACUGGCGAGCUAUAGUAUGGUACAGGGUG